rnacentral:rRNA from 1 species
AUUGAACGCUGGCGGCAUGCCUUACACAUGCAAGUCGAACGGUAACGGGCCUUCGGGUGCCGACGAGUGGCGAACGGGUGAGUAAUGCAUCGGAACGUACCUUUCAGUGGGGGAUAACGUAGCGAAAGUUACGCUAAUACCGCAUAUUCUGUGAGCAGGAAAGCAGGGGAUCGCAAGACCUUGCGCUGAUUGAGCGGCCGAUGUCAGAUUAGCUAGUUGGUGAGGUAAAGGCUCACCAAGGCGACGAUCUGUAGCGGGUCUGAGAGGAUGAUCCGCCACACUGGGACUGAGACACGGCCCAGACUCCUACGGGAGGCAGCAGUGGGGAAUUUUGGACAAUGGGGGCAACCCUGAUCCAGCCAUGCCGCGUGAGUGAAGAAGGCCUUCGGGUUGUAAAGCUCUUUCGGCCGGGAAGAAAUCGCACAGGCUAAUACCUUGUGUGGAUGACGGUACCGGAAUAUGAAGCACCGGCUAACUACGUGCCAGCAGCCGCGGUAAAAC